GACAGGGGGAAGUGCCCAGCCUGAGACUCCCUACUCUGGACCUGGCCUGCUCAUUGACUCGCUGGUGCUGCUGCCCCGUGUCCUGGUGCUAGAGAUGUUUAGUGGGGGUGAUGCUGCUGCCCUGGAGCGCCAGGCCACCUUUGAACGCUACCAAUGCCAUGAGGAGGGUCUGGUGCCCAGCAAGACUUCUCCCUCUGAGGCCUGUGCACCCCUCUUCAUCAGCCUGUCCACCCUCAUCUACAAUGGUGCCCUGCGUGAGUGUCUGUGAUGUGGGUUGAUGGGGCAGAGGUGGGGACCCAGCCUGACUUGGCCCAACCCUCCUCCCCACAGCAUGUCAGUGCAACCCUCAAGGUUCACUGAGUUCUGAGUGCAACCCUCAUGGUGGUCAGUGCCUGUGCAAGCCUGGAGUGGUUGGGCGCCGCUGUGACCUCUGUGCCCCUGGCUACUAUGGCUUUGGCCCCACAGGCUGUCAAGGUACUCUCCUGCCCCUUGUUCCCUCCUAUGCUUCUCUCUCCUUCCCAUUACUGUUCUCUCUCCUCCUUCUGGACCUGCUGCUGGUUUCCUCAAACUAAGUCUUGGACCCUCUACUCUCAACCUGGGUCAGUUGUAGUUCUCUUCCAUUUCCUGACCUUCCCACCUAGACUCCCACUACUCACACUCCCCUGAGACCCUCCCCCACCC
rnacentral:sRNA from 1 species